UCAUUAAAAAAACUAAUGAUACUCCCCUCUACUUGUGAGAAAAUGGCAGGAGGGUGCUCUGGUCUUACAAAGCUUGAGGGCAAUCAUGUAGAUGGAUGUCACAGCAUAAUCAAUCCCGCAAUCAGUGUUUACCCUGCGGAGUUUGGAGGUUCACGUGAGCAAUCAACGUCAAUAUCAGAAAUCAACAGAAGCGCAGAAAUUGAAAAUCAGCUUGAGGAUGUUGCUGAUGAGUUCUGUCGCCUUGCUAUGUAAAGCCAAAAUAAGUGAUAAAAAAAAAAUAAAAAUAGUCUUCCUUAAGAGCCAUUCCUUCUAAAAUAACUGCAGUUUUA